rnacentral:rRNA from 1 species
GACGAAGGGGGGCAAGCGUUGUUCGGAAUUACUGGGCGUAAAGCGAGUGUAGGUGGUUGUCAUAGUCAGGCGUGAAAGCCUUGAGCUCAACUCAAGAAAUGCGCUUGAUACUGGGCAGCUAGAGGACCGGAGAGGAUAGUGGAAUUCCUGGUGUAGAGGUGAAAUUCGUAGAUAUCAGGAGGAACACCGGUGGGCGAAGGCGGGUC